rnacentral:rRNA from 1 species
UACAGAGGGGGCCAGCGUUAUUCGGAAUUAUUGGGCGUAAAGGGCGCGUAGGCGGCCUUGCGUGUCUUUCGUGAAAUCCCUCGGCUUAACUGAGGACGUGCGGAAGAAACUGCAGGGCUUGAGUCCGGGAGAGGGGGGUGGAAUUCCGCGUGUAGCAGUGAAAUGCGUAGAGAUGCGGAGGAACACCGAUGGCGAAGGCGGUUCUCUGGGCCUUACCUGACGCUGAGGAGCGAAAGCGUGGGGAGCGAACAGG